UCACAAAGUUCUGUUGAAGUCCUGCCA
rnacentral:piRNA from 1 species